UAAAAAUCAAAGAAACCUACUUCACAACUAUUUGGGGUUGGCUACUAUGGAUCAAUUACUAUUUUACAUGGCAGUGUCAACAGGUAACCUCAUGGUCCUGGGCCAAAAUAAGAAAAAAGAUUUGGAAAUUUUGGUUAGGAAUGAAAUGAAACUGAGUGAGGGUCAACACUUACCUGGAAUUCAGGGCAGUCCCAGGCCCAAGACGACCAAGGCGGUCGCAUUGGGCCUCAAAAUAGAGGAUGGAAAAAAAAAAAAAAAAUUAAGUUAGGACAAGUCUUGGUCGCCUUGGUUGAGGCCCAUAGGGGAUGGAAAAAAAAAAAUACGGAGUGUUAAGUUAGGGCAAGUUUCAGACGACACAAUUUGCUUCGACACUCCGCAGGCCGCAGCCUCCGCUAUCGCCUCAGGUGACAAGGACACUCUUCUUAGUAUCUCGUGAGGUUAUUUGCCUUGAACUUGAAUCAAAUCAUUGCAUAUUGAGGGCCUCACAUUUGAAAGUUUGCCUAGGGCCUUUCAAAAUAUUUGGAAUUCUUUAGUUCUUUGCCUCAAAGGGUCAAACUUGCCUACAGAAUAAUAGAGGGACUCUGACACUUGAACACUAGGGGAAAUCAAUGAAUAAAUAGAAUUGCAACCAGAUCUUGUCCUAAAUUUUUCAUCUAAAUAAUGAAUUAAGUUGAACUUUUGAAUUCUUGCUAGGAUUUACCUUUUCCUUUCUUUUUCAAAUGAAUAUGUUGUAAAUUUGGGCUAAGGUGUUCUUUUAUGAAUAUGUUAGGAUUUAUCUUUUUACAUAGUAUAAAAUUUUGUAACAUGAAUUUAAAGACAUACCAUUAUUGUUGCCUUGAUGACAGUUUGCUUUGUGUGGCCAUAAACGAAUUCAUCAUCAAUUACAGAGAGCAUAACAUCUAUGAAGUCCUGCUCAUCACCCCUCUCACUCACAAUUCCCUUUUGUAGAUGUUCUUAAACCCAAACUCUCAAAGAUAGAAUCCAAUUAUUUUCCAAUUCUCUUCAUGGUCUUCAAAUCUCCUCCCAUAUGAUCAAUCCAUGUUAGCAAUGGAAAUGGAAUCACAUCUGGCAAUACAAAAACCCCAUUUACAUACAUAAAUUCCUUUAUAACUCUUUUAAAUUGCCUUGUUUCUUCAUCGUCCGCGCUCUUAGAAUAUCUCUUACCUGCAAUCAUCUUCACAACAAUAAUCAAAGUAAAUUGUUCAAGCCGUUCACUAAUCACCACCCUGUUGCUCUUCUUGGCAAGCAAGUACAACUCUUUAAUGCUAGUGUCCAAUUCCGAGACUCGGACAUGCCUGAGCGUGUCAAGUCGCAGACUUGACAGCAACUG